GGGGGAUGCAUUUUUUGGCUUCAGCACUGAGAGAGAGAGGAAUCAAAAAAAGGAAGUAUCAUUUCCUUAACUACUAGGUAUUAAUAUCCUGUUUAAUUUAAUUUCGGCUUUCUGCGCCGGUGAGCUCUUUUCCCUCUAACAUACAGUGUCAGCUUGGCAGGGAGUUUCUGACAGUAUCAAAAGAGGAUUUAGCUCUGAACCCUUGCCAUGAAAGUGUCUCUAUCUGCACACAGAAGAGAGCAUUGUGUCCUGCAAAGACGGUAAUUGACUGAAUGAGGCCUGGCACCUGGGCCUGCCGUGGAGCCCUGAUAAGGACAUAAAGACAGGCUUAAAGGGCCUGCUUGCCAGAGGCAGAGACGCUCACACGUUCCUGGGAGGAGGGAAGCCCAGCCAUCCCUGCCAUCCUCAAGGAGAGCUGAGCACAGGGGCUCAGCCCCUGCAGCCCUGCAGAAAGAGUGUCCCGGGCAAAUGCAAGCUGGAAGCAUUCCUCACUUCAACAUGUAAAAUGAGCUUCUUUGACAAGCUCCUGGCAUGGGACCCUGCAGAACCGAGACCAGCAGAAAGAUUGACCCCCUAUAAAUCCGCGCAGUUCAGUCUAACAACAGCUUAGCCAUGACGAUCGGCAAUCAGUCCCCAAGAAGCUCCACACUCAGCCUCUGAGAUGCAGAAGAGGUUCGUGAUGGUCAGUUUUAUGUGUCAACUUGACUGGGCCGUGGGAUGCCCAAAUAGCUGGCUACACAGCACUUCUAGGUAUAUUUGUGAGGGUAUUGCUGAAAGAGAUUAGUGAAUUGGUGGACUGAGGAAGGCAGACUGCCCUCUCCCAUGUACAGUGGCAGCCUUCGAUGCACUGAAGGCCUACACAGAACACAGCGGUGGAGGAAGGUUGAAUUCACUCUCCGCUUGACAGUUUGAGCUGAGACAUCUCCUUCUUCCAUUUUCAGCAUUCCUGGUUCUCAGGCCUUCAGACUCCUGGACUGGCAUCAACGUCACUGGUUCCCCUGGUUCUCAGGCCUUUGACUAGAUAUCAGCUUUCCUGGGCCUCCCACUUGUACUAGCAGCCUCCAUAAUUACAGAAGCCAAUACCUUAUGAUCAAUUUAAAUAUAUAAAUAUAUAUGUAAUAAAUAUAUAUAUAAAUGUAUAUGAAGAAGGGUGAUUGCAGAUUUGUAGUUUUGCUUUAUUUGACUCUGCUUGCUGGGGCUACAUGUGGAGGGCUUGUGUUAGCCAUUGAAUCAGAAAUGGGAAUAGAACUGCGUGUUAGUGUUAGUUUUAUAUAUAUUUUAAAAUGAGCAUAUAUGUGUGUUAAUACACAUAUAUUCUAUACUAUAUAUAAUAUAUAUUAUGUAUAUAAUACACACAUAUAUA
rnacentral:lncRNA from 1 species